UAAUGUAUUCGGAGCAAAGGCCUGCUUUGAACACUCUAAUUUUUUCACAGUAAAAGUCCUGGUUCCCCCCACAGCCAGUGAAGGCCAUGAGGUUCCCCAGAAGGAAAGGUCCAGCCGGACCAGUACUCGCGGUGAGGCGGACCGGCCAGCCAGACCCAAGGUUCAACUACGAGCUUUUUAACUGCAACAACUUUAAUAUACGCUAUU
rnacentral:rRNA from 1 species